rnacentral:lncRNA from 1 species
UUGCGUUCAGUUUCAUCAAAGAGUCAUCAGGCUUUCUACAAAGCUUCAGACUUUGAUUGCACCAGUAGUGACAUUUAUAGUUUUCUCAUCAACAGUAUACGACGGGAUUUUUGGAGGGUUGGCGGUUUCUCAGCCAUUCUCCGUUGAAACUUUCAAGUAUAUCGUUGCUAUUUUCGUCGCGCAGAUCCCAUUUUUUCUCUUAUUCAGGUGCCCGGCGCUAACGUCACAAGCGGCGACAGACAUUGGCACUCAGCUGUACUGGAAUCAUUCGUGGUCAACUUUAAGAGACAAACGCGUGUCCAUUCUAGAAUUAGUAAUGAUGAGGACCAACAAAACAAUCAAAUUCCGGAUUCUCAAAUUUUGGAUAUUGUCAUAUGAGAACUUUCUAAAGUAUCUACAAAAUCUUUACGCGGUAGUUGUCAUCAUCAGAUCCGUAACCUCCAGGGCUCACAAAGACACUACGGUACCAAUUUAAGGCAUAAAAAAUAAGGGUCCCAGAUAGACACUUUUGAUAUAAGGGAUAUAUCUCAACAAACGAUGGACUUGAAUUUCCUCUAUCAGCUUAAAGACUCUAUUAAUUCUAAUACAACUGCCGAAACAAGGCAAAACUUCCGAUAAAAGAACUGAGCCUCAGCUUAUCUGGAAUACUAACAUUUUUAGUUUGGGAGACAAAAAUUUCUAGUUCUCGGGACUGAACCUUCGUUCAGAAAAUGGAAUUUUUUCGUAAAGAUACAAGGUUACCUGAGCUAAAGUUUUCAUCCAAUGACUGAAAACUUUAGUUACCUGAACUGAAAACAUUCGUUUUCUUUACGAACCGAAGUUUUUUUUUUUUCUCCGUGAAUGCGAUACGCUCCUUUCAUACUUCCAAAUUCCUCUAGUUUUAUUGCUCUUAAAAACUUGAAUAUAAAUACAAAAUAACCCCCAACAGGGAUGAUUCCGGCACUAUCCGGGCACUAGCCGUGAGUUUGGUUUAGUUGGUCGGCUCGAUCUCGGUUCCCGAUCUCCUUAGCCAGCUUCUGAUCCAAGCAUUUUCUAAUUUAGAGCCUAAACCAACAUAUGAUAGUUUAACCAUCUAGACAAUCAUCUGGCCGAAACCCACCCCAUGUUGGGGUGGGUUUCGGUUUUUCUCCCGGUAGAACUACAAAAAAAAAAAAAAAAAAAAAAUACAAAAUAAAGAUUAGAACUUUCAAUCAGAGUUUUGUUUUGCCUUCAUAAUGCCACGAUUGAGUGAAUUAUUUGAACCGCUUUUAGCAGAACGGGACCAAGCCACAUCAGUUAUUGCCAAAUUUAAUUGGGCAAUUUAAUUUUUUUUUUUUUUUUUUUUUUUUACAAAGGAGCGUUUUUGCAGAUUCCUUUGAAACUCUUAAGGAAUUUGCUUCCUAUUAUGCAGAAAAGUCACUGAAAUUGAAUAAAAAAAUCCGCGUAACCAUUUUCAUUUAAAAAAUUUAAUUGCGCCUUUAAAUUUGGCAAUAUCUGAUGUGGCUUGGUUCCUUUCUGCUGAACGUGGUCCAUUUGAUCAACUGUAAACAUUCAAUUUAUUUUAACUUUAAAUACAAUCGCACAUUUUACUCAUCUCUCAACAACCCAAUAGUAUUUGGCCAGCUGUCCAAAGGUUUAGAGCUGAAUCUUAGAAAGGCAGGUUAUAACGACGCUCUUCUCACGUAAAGGCGUAUCUUGAUUUCUGCAUGAGCCCCAAAAAACAUGGAUUCAUGUGUGAAUCAGGGCUCACGCGAAAAUUGGAACAUUAUGGUGGCCCAAUUAUACACGACAAAAUUUAUCUUG